rnacentral:rRNA from 1 species
UGGGGAAUAUUGCACAAUGGGCGCAAGCCUGAUGCAGCCAUGCCGCGUGUGUGAAGAAGGCCUUCGGGUUGUAAAGCACUUUCAGCGGGGAGGAAGGCGGUGAGGUUAAUAACCUCAUCGAUUGACGUUACCCGCAGAAGAAGCACCGGCUAACUCCGUGCCAGCAGCCGCGGUAAUACGGAGGGUGCAAGCGUUAACCGGAAUUACUGGGCGUAAAGCGCACGCAGGCGGUCUGUCAAGUCGGAUGUGAAAUCCCCGGGCUCAACCUGGGAACUGCAUUCGAAACUGGCAGGCUAGAGUCUUGUAGAGGGGGGUAGAAUUCCAGGUGUAGCGGUGAAAUGCGUAGAGAUCUGGAGGAAUACCGGUGGCGAAGGCGGCCCCCUGGACAAAGACUGACGCUCAGGUGCGAAAGCGUGGGGAGCAAACAGG